rnacentral:lncRNA from 1 species
GUGAGUUCUCGAUUUAUGUGCUCGCCAUUCGUCUAGCUCCUCUAUCCGUACCCUUCGUUCUUCAUGAAUGUGUCCUCUAUCAGUUUUGGAACAUGGCUCGUGAACUUCUUUGAAGCUCAAUUUCUGCAAAGUCAUAUUGUCAGUUUUAGUAGAUUGGUGUGGACUAUUACCUUCAAUGAUCGAUGUGAUGCCAAAAUUACGAGCUUGAAGGGUGAUCGUGUCAUCUCCUACGCG